UUAUAUUCGGUAAAACGAAUGAUAAGAGAAAUUGCGGGACGAAACGUCUUCAACCUAUUCUCAAACUUUCAAUGAGUAUGA
rnacentral:ncRNA from 1 species